rnacentral:rRNA from 1 species
CUCCUGGAAACGGGUGGUAAUGCCGGAUGCUCCAUCACACCGCAUGGUGUGUUGGGAAAGCCUUUGCGGCAUGGGAUGGGGUCGCGUCCUAUCAGCUUGAUGGCGGGGUAACGGCCCACCAUGGCUUCGACGGGUAGCCGGCCUGAGAGGGCGACCGGCCACAUUGGGACUGAGAUACGGCCCAGACUCCUACGGGAGGCAGCAGUGGGGAAUAUUGCACAAUGGGCGCAAGCCUGAUGCAGCGACGCCGCGUGAGGGAUGGAGGCCUUCGGGUUGUAAACCUCUUUUGUUAGGGAGCAAGGCAUUUUGUGUUGAGUGUACCUUUCGAAUAAGCACCGGCUAACUACGUGCCAGCAGCCGCGGUAAUACGUAGGGUGCAAGCGUUAUCCGGAAUUAUUGGGCGUAAAGGGCUCGUAGGCGGUUCGUCGCGUCCGGUGUGAAAGUCCAUCGCUUAACGGUGGAUCCGCGCCGGGUACGGGCGGGCUUGAGUGCGGUAGGGGAGACUGGAAUUCCCGGUGUAACGGUGGAAUGUGUAGAUAUCGG